rnacentral:rRNA from 1 species
GACGAACGCUGGCGGCGUGCUUAACACAUGCAAGUCGAGCGGAAAGGCCCUUCGGGGUACUCGAGCGGCGAACGGGUGAGUAACACGUGAGUAACCUGCCCCAGACUUUGGGAUAACCCUCGGAAACGGGGGCUAAUACCGGAUACGACACAGCUUCGCAUGGGGUCUGUUUGGAAAGUUUUUCGGUUUGGGAUGGGCUCGCGGCCUAUCAGCUUGUUGGUGGGGUGAUGGCCUACCAAGGCGACGACGGGUAGCCGGCCUGAGAGGGCGACCGGCCACACUGGGACUGAGACACGGCCCAGACUCCUACGGGAGGCAGCAGUGGGGAAUAUUGCACAAUGGGCGGAAGCCUGAUGCAGCGACGCCGCGUGAGGGAUGACGGCCUUCGGGUUGUAAACCUCUUUCAGCAGGGACGAAGCGUAAGUGACGGUACCUGCAGAAGAAGCGCCGGCCAACUACGU